rnacentral:lncRNA from 1 species
CCCAUGUGUCUUCUUUUUGACUCAUCCAGGCAUGUGGCCAAUGAUGAGUAUUUCUAAAGGGAAAAAUUAUCUUUAAAAAAUACAACAGAAUAUACCAAGGUCAGUGAAUUGGCAAAAGUUGUUCCCUUGGUUGUCUCUCUUCUCCUUACUUUCCCCAUUUUAUCCUUUUGAUUUGCCUUUUUCUUCCACAUGGUGUCAUCCAUCCCUUCAAGCCACCGAAUUCAAUGAGGAAUGGGAAACUGGAGAAAGUCCAGAAGAAGGAUUUGCUAAUGCUUGGCUCCCACCUGUGCUCUGCAGUGAGACGUGGCAAAGCCCAAUCCUCAACCCUCCUUCCUGAGAUCAGAGAAACAGGAUUUUAUUGAAAACUCCUGGAGAGCAUCCUUCUGUCACUUUCAUUUCAAGUUCCAUCAUACUUCAACUUUUGGAAGGUCUUAUCCCUCUGCCCAGAGGCAACCAGCCUGAGAUGGUAUCCUCAGGAUUAUCUCUGCACGAAAACAGCAGAAGGAUCCUAAUGGCACAUUCAGUGUGGUUUCAUUUAAAGAAUUUCUGCAUGUCCUUAUUUUUGGUCAGUGUGCACUUUUCUUCUGUGUGGGUAAUGCUGGAUAAGAAUUGUUUCAUUUGCACCAUUUGCAAAACUCAUCAGGCCCAGAAGGGGCAAAUUUUAUCGCAGAAGUUUGAUAAGGUGGGUAGACUCUCAUUAUAGAAAAUAAUAAAUUUAAU